rnacentral:RNase_P_RNA from 1 species
CGAGUCGGUGGGGCGGCCGCGGCUACGGGAACCUGCGCCAGUGCGCACAGGCCCGAGCCGAGGAAAGUCCGGACUCCACAGAGCAGGGCGGUUGCCAACAGCAACCCGGGGUGACCCGCGGGACAGUGCCACAGAAAACAGACCGCCGGUCUCGGCCGGUAAGGGUGAAACGGUGCGGUAAGAGCGCACCAGCAUUCCGGGAGACCGGAGUGGCUCGGUAAACCCCGCCCGGAGCAAGGCCGAAGGCCGCACCGGCGCCACGGCGCGGGUGCGGCUGCGCAGGUGUUCGAGGGCUGCUCGCCCGAGCCUGCGGGUGGGCCGCUCGAGGUACCCGGCAACGGUGUACCCAGAUGGAUGGUCGCCGCCCGCAGCGCAUCGGUUCCGGUGCGCCGCGGGAACAGGAUCCGGCUUACACACCGACUCGUCCG